rnacentral:rRNA from 1 species
UACGGAGGGGGCUAGCGUUGUUCGGAUUUACUGGGCGUAAAGGGCGCGUAGGCGGAUGUUCGCGUCAGAGGUGAAAGCCCCGGGCUCAACCUGGGAACUGCCUUUGAAACGGGACAUCUUGAGUUCGGGAGAGGGUAGCGGAAUUCCCAGUGUAGAGGUGAAAUUCGUAGAUAUUGGGAAGAACACCGGUGGCGAAGGCGGCUACCUGGCCCGAUACUGACGCUGAGGCGCGAAAGCGUGGGGAGCAAACAGG